AAUGCGAUACUUGGUGUGAAUUGCAGAAUCCCGUGAACCAUCGAGUUUUUGAACGCAAGUUGCGCCCGAGGCCUUUUGGUCGAGGGCACGUCUGCCUGGGCGUCACACACAGCGUCGCUCCCUACCAACCUAGU
rnacentral:rRNA from 4 species